rnacentral:lncRNA from 1 species
GAAUUCCAUGAGAAUACGACUCUUUUUUGGAAAAGACACAAACUGAAGAGGACCUGGUGCUGCUGCCCAGCAUGACCCAGGUUACCUACACUGGGUUGGAAAUGAAAUUAUGAAGGCGAUGAGCAAAACAGUGACUUGCUAUUCUUGAGUCCAGCAAAACACAAACUAAUAGUACUCCAUUAAUUGGAAAGAAAGGAAAAGAGGGAUAUACCUGUCAGAAAACAUACAAUAAAAAUUUACGCGUAGAAGACAUUGAGUCAUGAAUAUGGAAUGACUUCACCUAACUUCACUUGAAAUUCACUUAAUUUUCAACUCUAUGGGCUAUGAGAUAUCCACAAUGAAGCAGUUGGAAACCAAAUUUAUUAUUCCAACACAAGAAUGCAUGUCUGUUUGGGGAAUAACCAAGCUGGAAAACAUUUCUUGAUGUCCCGGACUUGUCUCAGUUUUGCCUGAGUGUCUUCAUUGCCUGAGUCAUCAGUAAAUGUAAUAAUCUCAAGUUUAAUUAACACCUAGAAAUGUGUUAUUUGACAAUCUGAUUUUUUGUUUGUUGGUUGGUUGUACAUCAUUGUAUUAGUCUGGUUUCUCCAGAGAAACAAACAAAACCAGUUUACACACACACACACACACACACACACACACACACACUCUCAUCAG